GAUGAACGCUGGCGGCGUGCCUAAUACAUGCAAGUAGAACGCUGUAGGAGGAGCUUGCUCUUCUGGAUGAGUUGCGAACGGGUGAGUAACGCGUAGGUAACCUGCCUGGUAGCGGGGGAUAACUAUUGGAAACGAUAGCUAAUACCGCAUGACAACAGUUAUUGCAUGAUAACUGUUUAAAAGUGGCAACUGCUCCACUACCAGAUGGACCUGCGUUGUAUUAGCUAGUUGGUGAGGUAACGGCUCACCAAGGCGACGAUACAUAGCCGACCUGAGAGGGUGAUCGGCCACACUGGGACUGAGACACGGCACAGACUCCUACGGGAGGCAGCAGUAGGGAAUCGUCGGCAAUGGACGGAAGUCUGACCGAGCAACGCCGAGUGAGUGAAGAAGGUUGUCGGAUCGUAAAGCUCGGUUGUAAGAGAAGAAAGAGUGUGAGAGUGGAAAGUUCACACUGUGACGGUAACUGACCAGAAAGGGACGGCUAACUACGUG
rnacentral:rRNA from 1 species